rnacentral:rRNA from 1 species
UACGAAGGGGGCUAGCGUUGCUCGGAAUCACUGGGCGUAAAGGGUGCGUAGGCGGGUCUUUAAGUCAGGGGUGAAAUCCUGGAGCUCAACUCCAGAACUGCCUUUGAUACUGAGGAUCUUGAGUUCGGGAGAGGUGAGUGGAACUGCGAGUGUAGAGGUGAAAUUCGUAGAUAUUCGCAAGAACACCAGUGGCGAAGGCGGCUCACUGGCCCGAUACUGACGCUGAGG